rnacentral:rRNA from 1 species
GAUGAGCGCUGGCGGCGUGCUUAACACAUGCAAGUCGAACGAUGAACCUCACUUGUGGGGGGAUUAGUGGCGAACGGGUGAGUAACACGUGAGUAACCUGCCCUUGACUCUGGGAUAAGCCUGGGAAACCGGGUCUAAUACUGGAUACGACCUUCUGGCGCAUGCCAUGUUGGUGGAAAGCUUUUGUGGUUUUGGAUGGACUCGCGGCCUAUCAGCUUGUUGGUGGGGUAAUGGCCUACCAAGGCGACGACGGGUAGCCGGCCUGAGAGGGUGACCGGCCACACUGGGACUGAGACACGGCCCAGACUCCUACGGGAGGCAGCAGUGGGGAAUAUUGCACAAUGGGCGCAAGCCUGAUGCAGCGACGCCGCGUGAGGGAUGAAGGCCUGCGGGGUGUAAACCUCUUUCAGUAGGGAAGAAGCCGGCUUUUGGGUUGGUGACGGUACCUGCAGAAGAAGCGCCGGCUAACUACGUG